GGUGUAGCUCAGUUUGGCUAGAGCGCUUGAUUUGGGAUCAAGAGGUCGCAGGUUCAAGUCCUGUUACC
rnacentral:tRNA from 1 species